AAGACCUUGCGCUUUUGGAGCGGCCGAUGCCUGAUUAGCUUGUUGGUAAGGUAAAAGCUUACCAAGGCUUCGAUCAGUAGCUGGUCUGAGAGGACGACCAGCCACACUGGGACUGAGACACGGCCCAGACUCCUACGGGAGGCAGCAGUGGGGAAUUUUGGACAAUGGGGGCAACCCUGAUCCAGCCAUGCCGCGUGAGUGAAGAAGGCCUUCGGGUUGUAAAGCUCUUUCAGCCGGGAAGAAAAGGUUGCGACUAAUAAUCGCAAUCCAUGACGGUACCGAAAGAAGAAGCACCGGCUAACUACGUGCUAGCAGCCGCGGUAAUACGUAGGGUGCGAGCGUUAAUCGGAAUUACUGGGCGUAAAGGGUGCGCAGGCGGUUUUGUAAGUCAGAUGUGAAAUCCCCGGGCUUAACCUGGGAACU
rnacentral:rRNA from 1 species